rnacentral:rRNA from 1 species
CCUACGGGGGGCUGCAGUGGGGAAUAUUGGACAAUGGGGGGAUCCCUGAUCCAGCCAUGCCGCGUGUGUGAAGAAGGCCCUCGGGUUGUAAAGCACUUUCAGUGAGGAAGAACGCCUGGUGGUUAAUACCCAUCAGGAAAGACAUCACUCACAGAAGAAGCACCGGCUAACUCCGUGCCAGCAGCCGCGGUAAUACGGAGGGUGCGAGCGUUAAUCGGAAUUACUGGGCGUAAAGCGCGCGUAGGUGGCUUGAUAAGCCGGUUGUGAAAGCCCCGGGCUCAACCUGGGAACGGCAUCCGGAACUGUCAAGCUAGAGUGCAGGAGAGGAAGGUAGAAUUCCCGGUGUAGCGGUGAAAUGCGUAGAGAUCGGGAGGAAUACCAGUGGCGAAGGCGGCCUUCUGGUCUGACACUGACACUGAGGUGCGAAAGCGUGGGUAGCAAACAGGAUUAGAUACCCCGGUAGUC